rnacentral:rRNA from 1 species
ACGAACGCUGGCGGCGUGCUUAACACAUGCAAGUCGAACGGAAAGGCCCUGCUUUUGUGGGGUGCUCGAGUGGCGAACGGGUGAGUAACACGUGAGUAACCUGCCCUUGACUUUGGGAUAACUUCAGGAAACUGGGGCUAAUACCGGAUAGGAGCUCCUGCUGCAUGGUGGGGGUUGGAAAGUUUCGGCGGUUGGGGAUGGACUCGCGGCUUAUCAGCUUGUUGGUGGGGUAGUGGCUUACCAAGGCUUUGACGGGUAGCCGGCCUGAGAGGGUGACCGGCACAAUUGGACUUGGAGAACGGCCCGGACCCCCAGGGGGGGAAGGGGGGGGGAAAUUUCCAAAAGGGGGGGAAGCCUGAUGCGGAAACGCCGGGGGGGGGAUGACGCCCUUGGGGUUGUAAACCGUUUUCCCCUGGAACGAGGGGGGGGGGACGGUAAUGGGUAAAGAAGCACCGGCAAACUACGU